UACGAAGGGGGCUAGCGUUGUUCGGAAUUACUGGGCGUAAAGCGCACGUAGGCGGAUACUUAAGUUAGGGGUGAAAUCCCAGAGCUCAACUCUGGAACUGCCUCUAAUACUGGGUAUCUCGAGUUCGAGAGAGGUGAGUGGAAUUCCGAGUGUAGAGGUGAAAUUCGUAGAUAUUGGGUGGAACACCGGUGGCGAAGGCGGCCAUCUGGGCAACAACUGACGCUGAGGCGCGAGAGCGUGGGAGCAAACAGGAUUAGGAUACC
rnacentral:rRNA from 1 species